rnacentral:ncRNA from 1 species
AAGCUGGUCGAAAAAGGUUCAUCGUGAGAAGUCAGCCGAAGCCAUAGUAGCGAUUUCUAUCAUGAAGGGC